rnacentral:rRNA from 1 species
CGAGGGAUUUUCGGCAAUGGGCGAAAGCCUGACCGAGCGACGCCGCGUGAGCGAAGAAGGCCUUCGGGUCGUAAAGCUCUGUCUAGGGGGACGAGCAAGGACGGUACCCCUGGAGGAAGCCACGGCUAACUACGUGCCAGCAGCCGCGGUAAUACGUAGGUGGCGAGCGUUGUCCGGAAUUACUGGGCGUAAAGGGCGCGCAGGCGGUACGUUAAGUCCAAGGUGAAAUCCCACGGCUCAACUGUGGGGGGACCCUGGAUACUGGCGUGCUGGAGUGCGGGAGAGGGAAGCGGAAUUCCACGUGUAACGGUGAAAUGUAUAGAUAUGUGGAGGAACACCGGUGGCGAAGGCGGCUUCCUGGACCGUAACUGACGCUGAGGCGCGAAAGCUGGGGGAGCGAACAG